CCUACGGGAGGCUGCAGUGGGGAAUAUUGCACAAUGGGCGAAAGCCUGAUGGAGCAACGCCGCGUGGGUGAAGAAGGUCUUCGGAUCGUAAAACCCUGUUGUUAGAGAAGAAAGUGCGUGAGAGUAACUGUUCACGCUUCGACGGUAUCUAACCAGAAAGCCCCGGCUAACUACGUGCCAGCAGCCGCGGUAAUACGGAGGUGGCAAGCGUUAUCCGGAUUUAUUGGGCGUAAAGGGAACGCAGGCGGUCUUUUAAGUCUGAUGUGAAAGCCUUCGGCUUAACCGGAGUAGUGCAUUGGAGACUGGGAGACUUGAGUGCAGAAGAGGAGAGUGGAACUCCAUGUGUAGCGGUGAAAUGCGUAGAUAUAGGGAAGAACACCAGUGGCGAAAGCGGCUCUCUGGGCUGUAACUGACGCUGAGGUUCGAAAGCGUGGGUAGCAAACAGGAUUAGAUACCCGAGUAGUC
rnacentral:rRNA from 1 species